rnacentral:rRNA from 1 species
AUUGAACGCUGGCGGCAGGCCUAACACAUGCAAGUCGAGCGGAUGAGGGGAGCUUGCUCCCUGAUUUAGCGGCGGACGGGUGAGUAAUGCGUAGGAAGCUGCCCGAUAGAGGGGGAUACCAGUUGGAAACGACUGUUAAUACCGCAUAAUGUCUACGGACCAAAGUGUGGGACCUUCGGGCCACAUGCUAUCGGAUGCGCCUACGUGGGAUUAGCUAGUUGGUGAGGUAAUGGCUCACCAAGGCGACGAUCUCUAGCUGGUUUGAGAGGAUGAUCAGCCACACUGGAACUGAGACACGGUCCAGACUCCUACGGGAGGCAGCAGUGGGGAAUAUUGGACAAAGGGCGCAAGCCUGAUCCAGCCAUGCCGCGUGUGUGAAGAAGGCCUUCGGGUUGUAAAGCACUUUCAGCGAGGAGGAAGGGUGGUGUGUUAAUAGCACAUCAUUUUGACGUUACUCGCAGAAGAAGCACCGGCUAACUCUGUGCCAGCCGCCGCGGUAACAC